rfam:Prevotella sp. CAG:487 genomic scaffold, scf11
GGAGAGAUGGUAGAGUGGUCGAUUACAACGGUCUUGAAAACCGUCGUACCGAGAGGUACCGGGGGUUCGAAUCCCUCUCUCUCCG